UUAGCGCAGCGUCUUAAAUCAGUAAGCGAUCCCCGCGAGAUACCUCAGGUAAAUUAUGAAUACACAGUGUAGCUAGCUGUUUACCGUGUACUGAUCAGCUGAUAAGGGUUUAAAUACGACACGUGUUGAUGAAAGUCUGUGUUUUCACAAGUUUGCGGUUAAUUGGAACAGGAGUGAUUGGAAUAUAAUUAGUUAAGGAUUAUAAUUAGACUAUGCAAAGAAAUGGGAUAACAGUUGGUGGCGGCAUGCAUGGGCUCUUUCAUCACACUUCUCCCUUGAACAAGACUGUGCGGUUAUUAAAUUGAAUGGGCACAGGCGAAAGCCACCCUUACCACAGAUGAACACUUUGAGCAAAAUGGAGUGGAUUAUUGGUAAUCUGUCCGAGUCUCACCAAAACCUGUGCAAAGUCGCUACAGUGGGACUGCUUCUACCAACGUCCACAGCUGAUUGUGAGAGGUUUCAGCAGUUGAAAGUGUAAAGACCACCCACCAUUCACCAGUGAGCAUGAAAGCGCUUAAUGCCUUACUCAUGGUGUCCAUGCAGGGACAAAAAAAUGAAUGACUUUAAUUUCAAUGGUGCAGUAAAGGAAUGGCACAGUGCCAAAGACAGACACUUACAUGAAAAAAAAAUGCCUAUUUGUUGUUAGUGUUAGUACAAAAGAAGUGGAAGGACAUGUGUUGUUCAAAAGUACUUAUAAAAGAAGUGGACAUAUGUGUAGUGUAUAUGAUAUAUUGAUGGUUAUAUGAUUAUGUGAAAAUGUAGAAGUAAUGAA
rnacentral:lncRNA from 1 species